rnacentral:piRNA from 1 species
UACAAGUUCUGGAUGCCAAAUGACUGU